rnacentral:rRNA from 1 species
ACGCUCGACACCUACGGGAGGCAGCAGUGGGGAAUAUUGCACAAUGGGGGAAACCCUGAUGCAGCGACGCCGCGUGGAGGAAGAAGGUCUUCGGAUUGUAAACUCCUGUUGUUGGGGAAAAAGAGGAUGGUACCCAACAAGGAAGUGACGGCUAACUACGUGCCGGCAGCUGCGGUAAUCUGAGGCGGGCUGGCAAGGC